ACCCCUGGCACUUGUAAAUAUAUUAACUCUACGAUAAAUAAAUAACGAAAUUAGUUAAAUAAAUACAUCAAAUUAUCUAUUUCACUCAAGUUAUUCCAAUCUCUGACAUGAACGAAACCAACGCUUGAGGAUUGACAUAUUUGAAGACAUCAGAGGGCGAGAACACGCACGCGCGCGCGCACUCCCACUCAAUCAUACAAACAAGGAAAUAAGUCCAACAAAGGGCGGGCUCGCUACAAUACGAUUCAAACUAGGAAAAAUAGUAAUAUAAGGUCAACGUACAUCAGAGGCUAUAUACAGCGAUUGGCUUCCAUUUGGAGCAGUGUCGCCCCCAACCGAAAUGUAAGGAGGCGGAACUGUUGGCAUUCCACAAACCGAGAAUCGAAUGCAAUGGCCCAAAGCAUUAAUAUGCAUACACAUGAAAGUCAUGUAAAAUAAACAAAUAGUUAAUUUUAA